rnacentral:rRNA from 1 species
CAGUCGCCGCGGUAAUACGUAGGUGGCAAGCGUUGUCCGGAAUUAUUGGGCGUAAAGGGCUCGCAGGCGGUUUCUUAAGUCUGAUGUGAAAGCCCCCGGCUCAACCGGGGAGGGUCAUUGGAAACUGGGAAGCUUGAGUGCAGAAGAGGAGAGUGGAAUUCCACGUGUAGCGGUGAAAUGCGUAGAGAUGUGGAGGAACACCAGUGGCGAAGGCGACUCUCUGGUCUGUAACUGACGCUGAGGAGCGAAAGCGUGGGGAGCGAACAGGAUUAGAUACCCCCGUAGUCCCUGUCUCUUAUAC